GGGGGCAUGGCUCAGUGACAGAGCCUUUAACUGCAAAUCACAAGGUCCCCAGUUCAACUCUGGGGUGCUCCUUACA